rnacentral:lncRNA from 1 species
ACUGCAAAAUCUUUAUGCGUUUGAUACCCGAUAAACAACAUAUAUCUGUUUUAAAAAAUAAAACACAUAAACAUAUAUGGCCCUGUUCGUUUGCUCACCCACAUGAUCCAUCUGGGUGAAGAUGCAAAUCGAUAUUCGUUUUGUGCAUUAUAAUGCUACAUCCAGAUGGAUCACCUAGCUGAAUUUUUAAAAACUCAUCUCAAAUUCUCACACAAAUGAAGGUGAAUCUUGAUGCUGCAUCUGGAUGCAGAUGCAUCUAGUUCAGUCCAAAAUGAUAAAUGACAAAAAAAUGACCUUUUCAAAUCAAAAUAUUAUUUUCAAACCCUAAAUUCUAUUUUUUUGCAUAUAUAUUUUUCUGCUAUAACAAAAAAAUGUAUUUUCUCGCAAAAACCGAAAAAUACACUUUCCCGCCAAAACCGCAAGAUGCGUUUUUCCGCAAAAAAACGUAAAACACACAUUUUCAUAAAAACACAUUUUUCGGCCAAACCAGUAAAACCGCACUUUUCGACCAAAAACCGAAAAAUCGCAUUUUCCCGUUAAAAAAAAAAGAAGCAUUUUCCCGCCAAAACCCAAAAAAUGCAUUUUCCCGCCAAACUCCAAAAAGCAUUUUCCGACCAAAACCGGAAAAAUGCAUUUUCUCGCCAAAACCGGAAACACACAAUUUUCCUGCCAAAACCGGAAAACAGAAUUUUCCCGCCAAAACCGAAAAAAACUCAUUUAUGACCUUUUCAAAUCAAAAUAUUAUUUUCAAACCCUAAAUUCUAUUUUUUUGCAUAUAUAUUUUUCUGCUAUAACAAAAAAAUGUAUUUUCUCGCAAAAACCGAAAAAUACACUUUCCCGC